rnacentral:rRNA from 1 species
AAGUCGUAACAAGGUUUCCGUAGGUGAACCUGCGGAAGGAUCAUUAAUGAAAUACAAGAGUGCUCUUUUUAGAGGCUCGACCUAUUCAUUUCCUUACCCUGUGCACAAACUACUCUUUUUACACCCAUUUUAACACUUAAGUUAUAAGAAUGUCAAUAGUCUCUUGAUUGAGCAUAAAAUAUUAUAAAACUUUCGGCAACGGAUCUCUUGGCUCCCGCAUCGAUGAAGAACGCAGCGAAAUGCGAUACGUAAUGUGAAUUGCAGAAUUCAGUGAAUCAUCGAAUCUUUGAACGCACCUUGCACUCUUUGGUAUUCCGAAGAGUAUGUCUGUUUGAGUGUCGUGAAACUCUCAACCCCCCUGUUUUGUACUGAGACAGGCGACGGGCUUGGAUCAUGGCUGUUGUCGGUUCUUGUUAAUCGGCUCGGCUGAAAUAUACGAGUUGCCCAAUUGAAAUCGACGGCUCGACUCGGCGUAAUAAUACUUUUUCGCUGAGGACGUCAUUUUUCAAAUAGUGGUGCUUCUAAUGCAUAUCAUUUGAUCUUUAGACCUCAAAUCAGGCAGGACUACCCGCUGAACUUAA